rnacentral:misc_RNA from 1 species
UCAGACACCCGGAAUCAUCG